AUUGAACGCUGGCGGCAUGCCUUACACAUGCAAGUCGAACGGCAGCACGGGGCAACCUGGUGGCGAGUGGCGAACGGGUGAGUAAUGCAUCGGAACGUACCUUUCAGUGGGGGAUAACGUAGCGAAAGUUACGCUAAUACCGCAUAUUCUGUGAGCAGGAAAGCAGGGGAUCGCAAGACCUUGCGCUGAUUGAGCGGCUGAUGUCAGAUUAGCUAGUUGGUGAGGUAAAGGCUCACCAAGGCGACGAUCUGUAGCGGGUCUGAGAGGAUGAUCCGCCACACUGGAACUGAGACACGGUCCAGACUCCUACGGGAGGCAACAGUGGGGAAUUUUGGACAAUGGGGGCAACCCUGAUCCAGCCAUGCCGCGUGAGUGAAGAAGGCCUUCGGGUUGUAAAGCUCUUUCGGCCGGGAAGAAAUCGCACGGGCUAAUACCCUGUGUGGAUGACGGUACCGGAAUAAGAAGCACCGGCUAACUACGUGCCAGCAGCCGCGGUAAAAC
rnacentral:rRNA from 1 species